rnacentral:rRNA from 1 species
UACGUAGGGGGCAAGCGUUGUCCGGAAUUAUUGGGCGUAAAGCGCGCGCAGGCGGCUUUGUAAGUCUGGUGUUUAAACCUAGGGCUCAACCCAGGGCCUGCAUCGGAAACUGUCGGGCUUGAGUAUGGGAGAGGUGAGUGGAAUUUCCGGUGUAGCGGUGAAAUGCGUAGAUAUCGGAAGGAACACCUGUGGCGAAAGCGGCUCACUGGACCAUUACUGACGCUGAGGCACGAAAGCUAGGGGAGCAAACAGG